rnacentral:rRNA from 1 species
AAUAGAUACCCGGGUAGUCCACCCCGUAAACGUUGGGAACUAGUUGUGGGGUCCUUUCCACGGAUUCCGUGACGCAGCUAACGCAUUAAGUUCCCCGCCUGGGGAGUACGGCCGCAAGGCUAAAACUCAAAGGAAUUGACGGGGACCCGCACAAGCGGCGGAGCAUGCGGAUUAAUUCGAUGCAACGCGAAGAACCUUACCAAGGCUUGACAUACACCGGAAACGGCCAGAGAUGGUCGCCCCGCAAGGUCGGUGUACAGGUGGUGCAUGGUUGUCGUCAGCUCGUGUCGUGAGAUGUUGGGUUAAGUCCCGCAACGAGCGCAACCCUCGUUCUAUGUUGCCAGCACGUAAUGGUGGGAACUCAUGGGAUACUGCCGGGGUCAACUCGGAGGAAGGUGGGGAUGACGUCAAAGUCAUCAUGCCCCUUAUGUCUUGGGCUUCACGCAUGCUACAAUGGCCGGUACAAAGGGCUGCAAUACCGUGAGGUGGAGCGAAUCCCAAAAAGCCGGUCCCAGUUCGGAUUGAGGUCUGCAACUCGACCUCAUG